rnacentral:rRNA from 1 species
UACAGAGGUCUCAACCGUUGUUCGGAUUCAUUGGGCGUAAAGAGCUCGUAGGCGGUCUGUCGCGUCGGCUGUGAAAUCCCGGAGCUCAACUCCGGGUCUGCAGUCGAUACGGGCAGGCUAGAGUUCGGUAGGGGAGACUGGAAUUCCUGGUGUAGCGGUGAAAUGCGCAGAUAUCAGGAGGAACACCGAGUGGCGAAGGCAGGUCUCUGGGCC